rnacentral:rRNA from 1 species
GUCUAUGGCCAUACCACCCUGAACAUGCCCGAUCUCAUCUGUUCUCAGAAGCUAAGCAGGGUCGGGCCUGGCUAGUACUUGGAUGGAGAAUGCUUUUCAUAAGCA